rnacentral:tRNA from 1 species
ACUUAAGUGGUGCAAUAUGGUAGACACGGUAAUCUUAGAAGUUAUUUGUUAAGGGUUCAAAUCCCUUCUUAAGUA